rnacentral:rRNA from 1 species
CAAUAGCGUAUAUUAAAGUUGUUGCGGUUAAAAAGCUCGUAGUUGGAUUUCUGUUAGGGACGACCGGUCCGCACUAUGUGCGUGUAUCUGGCUCGGCCUUGGCAUCCUCCUGGGGAACGGUGCUGCGCUUGAUUGCGUGGUCCGGUAUUCAGGACUUUUACUUUGAGGAAAUUAGAGUGUUUACGGCAGGCAAUCGCCUUGAAUAUAUUAGCAUGGAAUAAUAAGAUAAGACUUGGGUCAUUAUUUUGUUGGUUUGCGGAUCGAGGUAAUGAUUAAUAGGGAUAGUUGGGGGUAUUCAUAUUUAAUUGUCAGAGGUGAAAUUCUUGGAUUUAUGAAAGAUGAACUUAGGCGAAAGCAUUUGCCAAGGAUGUUUUCAUUGAUCAAGAACGAAAGUUAGGGGAUCGAAGACGAUCAGAUACCAU